rnacentral:lncRNA from 1 species
CUUCUUGCGGCCACACAUCUUCUACAUACUCUUCAUUUUGUAUUUCAGCUUUUUUUGCUCUCCAUCGUGUGGUUUGCCAUCAUUCUUAACUGAUUGAAUACCCACCUCUUCUCCAAGAUAGUACAAUAUACCCUUUCUUAGGAUUAUAUUCCUCCAGUUUGGGUACUCACUAGCCUUGUACUCCCACCCUUGAUACUUGAAGCAUUAAAACUCCUUGG